ACGCGAAGAGAACAGAAACGCAAGGGCACGACUCGUACUCGCAAGUAUAUACAUAUACGUAUACUCAACUCCUCUGCCAGUCGCUGUCCAGCACCAGCCCCUACCUUCCCCCCCCCCCAUCUGCUCGGGGGUAGAGUCAUCCGUGUACACCUCCGCAUCGCUGCCGCCCUCGCGGGGCCUUGCCUCCCUCCCUCUCUGACGCCGUUGUCCUCAGAGGGCCCAAAGGGCUUUCAACGAUCUCGACGGACGUGUCACGUCUCCCUCCAGCAGCGUGCCGGCCUGGAGAGAGCCGACCGCGCAGCGCCCCCCCCUCCCCCGACAGGGAAGCCUCAAGUGCAGCUGUGGCAGAGACGCAAGGCGGUGUCGACAAUGAGCACCCACGGCAGGUCUGCGGGCGACGUGCUCGCUCGCAUGUCGGACGAGGAGGAUGACGGCGUGCCAGAGGACUUGGAGCUGACGUUCGUGCCUGCGUCAAAGCGACGUGGGCCGGCGUCGUCACACGCCGUUGGCCACCACGCCGGGGAUGCGGUGCCCUCCACGCUGACCUCCUCGACAGACAGCGGCCCCACGGUCAGCAGCAACCCCAAGCCGCGCGCAGAAACGGUCUAUGAGAGGGAGCGCAACGCCAAGGUGCGUCAGCUUCUCGCCGAGCAGCAGAGAACAACUCCAGGCGUCGUCUUCUCGCUGGAUGCGUUCGAGGCGCCGCCACCGGACCAAUACACUCUGGCCGGCUUUCAGGAGGCGCCAGGCACCUCUGCCCCAUCCUCUUCGCCUGCGCCGUACAACCGAGAAGAUCAGCGGCGAGGCUUCUUGCAGUACCGUGGUCGUGGCGGCGCAGAGGGCGGCGGCAGGGGAGAACCUGGUGGAGGGGGCGGCCCGCGCCGGUACCGGAUGCCGAAUCCGAACAUGUCGGAGGAGGAGCAGGCGCGCUUCAUUCGGCACCGCCGUAACAUGGCCGUCAUCCGCAACGCACUGCGCGAAGUCGACCCUGACACGCUUGAGUAUAUGCAGGUGACACAGGCACCGGAUCAACUGCCCCUCAACAAAAACCGUGAAAGCUUUUCGAAACCCUACUUUAGUACCGACCGCGGCCGCGGUGGUGUCGACGCCGGCGGUGGCCGUAGCAUGUCGUCGUACCGCGGCAGAGGCGGCGGUGGCGGAAUGCGCGGCCGCGGCGGGAGCGGCUUCUCUCCUUACUCUGUUGGUCGAGGUACAGGCGCUACUCGCGGCGACGGGCUCGGCCGCGGUGGUGGUAGUGGUGGUGGCGGCCGCCGCUCAGCACCCUUUAGCCCCUACUCGUGAGAGUCUGGCAGUGAACGCAGCACGUGCCUUUGGCAUGUGGGCGUGGGCGUGCGUGUGUCACCCCUCUUCCCUUGCACGAUCUUUCCCGCUCUUCCUCGUGCAUGAGUGACAGUCCGGUUACAAUCACGCAGGCGGAGGCGAAUUCUUCAUUGUGUGCGGCUCUGGAUGUAUCUGUGUCGAUGUGCGCGCGUGCUUGUGGUCGUGUGGGCACGGACACCAACAUGUGCACCGACCAUGCCUAAGCGAAACAAAGAACACGACGCUGCGAACGAAAGCAGGGCGACCUUCGCUGAUUCUGCGCCCAUGAUGGAGUUUUCUUUGACCGCUGGCGGUGCGGCAGCAUACCCCGGGCUUGCCCUUCUCCAACUACCUCCUCUUCCUGCGUAUCUGCGCUUGCUACACGCACGCACGCACAGUGCCCCCGAGCUGCCAUCCCUCUCUCCUCUCCUCGCACUGAACUCCCAG
rnacentral:misc_RNA from 1 species